UAGAGAAGUCAAUGAUGGUUUUACCCAGUAUGUCUGAACCUGUCUGAAGCAUCUCUGAUGAAAUGUCUGUGCAUUCUGAGACUUCUCUGAGA